CUCCGCUCCUUCCUCCCAAACCCCAACUGCCCCGAUUCAGAUCCCCCUUGCAGCCGCACCUCUCCCUCUCUGCCACACCUCUCCCCUCGCCGCCGCCUCCCUCUCCGCCACCCACCUCUUCCCUCGCCACCGGUCUGCCACAUCCGGCACCGUCGAGGCCAGUGGGCGCUGGAUCCGGCACCGGCAUGGCCCCUCCAUCAGCAACUCGAACAGGGGGGCUGCGGCGCCAUGGCUUCCUCCAACCCCAUGGCGUGGGCCCGAGUCACACGCUGGCCUCGGCUGGGUCCCGGGCGAGCAGCCGGGCGGGAUGAUGCUGAUGGCGCUGCGUCUGCGGCCCCCGACCAUCCCGCCGGCGCUACGGCCCGCGGAGGCGGCCGCCCGCAAGGUGUUGCUACGACUACACCCAACGGAGGAGGCAGAGCAGUGCCGGCACAGGGUCCAGAUCGAGGCGGGGUCCUUCUUCCUCCGUGUGCUUCUGUUCGGACGCCAUGUGAGUGCUAGAGAGGCCACAACGCAGCUGCUCCCACGUCAAGGUCGGUUCUAUGCCUUCGAGAAGGCCCAUCGCCUCGACCCCACCUCCAGCGGCGCUGGAGUUCACCUUGUCGGCCGACAACUACAGGCUCAUGGAGGAGGUCUGCUUCGGUGCAAAGAGAAAAUGUGUUGUGGAUGUGUCCAGCUGGUCUGUGUUAAGCUGGGAAGAUCCAUCCAUUUAUAGCUUUUUAUAUUUUAUUACAGUGAAAAUGGCAGUACUAGCUUCAGUAGCAUCAAGCUUUAGGUUUCUUCUUACUGGAGUUACCAAUGGCUGACAGGUUUUUAUAUACUCAAUCCUGCAAUUUCUGUUACAGAUUUUCAGCUUGAUCCACUAUUUUGGUCAGUGAUUUGCAUUACCCUCGCCGCUGCUCUGCUCUGUACAUACGUAACCUAGGACUCUUAUCUAAUCAGGGGCACUCUUUGGUUGCUAUUCUACAAUUAUUAGUUUCACAAAACUGCUUGUAACUCCUCUAGAAGCACUGCAGUUUGCGGUCUCUAGGAUGGUUUGUCCUCACUGCAUAUGCUGCUGUGAUUUAAUUUGACUUGGUAACAAUGGCUGUCAAACAAUCAAACACAAGCAAAUUAAAUGCUUUCUAGUAUUCCGUAUAGUGCUUGCUAUGCAGUGCAUAGUUUUGAAUGGUUGAAUUAUACAGAGCUCUCCAUGCCCAAGAUGAAAAAUUCUCGCUGUCAAUCUGUUUGAUGCUAUCAUUUUCUUACCAUUAUAUUAUAUGUGCCGCUCAACAUUCAACCUACUUUAAUCUGUACUAGUAUUCAGUUUGUACCUCAUCUAGCACACUGCCUAAAAUUGCCACUAUUCUUUUAAUGAAUUUAGUAGAAUUGCCUUGUGAUUCCUCUGUUUGCUUCAUAUUAUGGUUGCUCUACUGCUAGUGUCUUACUAGCUUGUUAUGGCUCAUCGUGUUCCUGCUUGUAGUUGAUUUUUCAUCUGCCUAAGUAUAUUUGUAGUACAUGUGCAAGCAAACAUUUGAACUCAAGCCCAUCCAUCCUUUGUACUGUACUAUACUAAAGAAGUAAUGUAGAUGAAUAUACAUGCAGUUUUAUUAAGUGAAUGCCAUGCAAAACAACUAACUUGCUCUUGUACAUGUAGAUGGAGUAGGAGGAUAAGCAGCAGCAAAAAAUGAGCCUGAUGGUGAAGAAGCAGCUGAUGACCAGAACUCCUUCAAGUGCUCUUUAGUCAUUCCAAAACAAGGAGCUCCAGGCCUAAUUUUCUUGGAGUGUGAAGCCGUGAAGCCAAGUGCGAAUCAGUGAAGCCCUACUUAGCAAAGAGUUUUUUGAUUCUGUAGUAGACUGUAAAUUGUAAUAUUGUAAUAGAUUGUAAAAGACUAAUGUAGUGUUAUUUGAUGAAUUAUAUUUGUCCCGUCCUAUUUGAAAUAGUGAUUAUGUAUGUUAAAAAUAUGUGAAAUGGAAACUUGACGAGCGGGACCAAUUUAUGUCCCACUUAUGAAUAUAA